rnacentral:rRNA from 1 species
UACGGAAUGUGCAAACGUUAUUCGGAAUCACUGGGCUUAAAGAGUCCGUAGGCGGCUUGUUAGGUGAGGUGUGAAAUCCCUCGGCUCAACCGAGGAAUUGCGCUUCAAACCGGCAAGCUAGAGGAGGAUAGAGGUGGGCGGAACUGAUGGUGGAGCGGUGAAAUGCGUUGAUAUCAUCAGGAACACCGGAGGCGAAGGCGGUCCACUGGGUCCUUUCUGACGCUGAGGGACGAAAGCUAGGGGAGCGAACGGG